rfam:Microgenomates (Woesebacteria) bacterium GW2011_GWA1_39_12 TT23_C0004, whole genome shotgun sequence.
UGCGGAGUCGUCUAAUGGUAGGACGUCACCCUUUGGAGGUGAAUAUUCUUGGUUCGAAUCCAAGCUCCGCAG